rnacentral:lncRNA from 1 species
ACGCCCCUGGAACAACCAAAGAAGUCGUGUUGCUCACCAUUGAAAAGAACAGAGAUCCGGGCCGACUCGAAAAUGACUCUAAUCCACUGACGAAAGAUGUGAGGGAAACCAAAGCAAUCCAAAACAGUGUCAACAAAAUCCUAGUUGAGAGUGUCCAAGGCUUUCUUAAUAUCCACCUUAAGAGCCAAAUUCCGACCCUGCACCGAACGCUC